AUAGAAUUUAAGAUUACAUUGAAAAUUCAGUACAGAGUAUUUUGCCUUCAUCUGUUGUUUGAGUCUCCCUUCUUUCAGCCAUCCUUCCAUCAGAAAUAGAAUACCAAGUUAAACUUCUUAAUUAGAAUCAGGAAUCAGGACUCUUUGGCUGCUGAUUGAAGGAAGAACUGUCCUUAAAUCCAGAGCAUGAGCCACUGCACCCGGCUGACUGAGGCCAUUCUAAGGAAUAUACAGCAAGCUCUUCACUACCCAUUUUUGUUAACUGAGGUAUAACUAAAUGAUACACAGGCCCAGCACAGUGGCACGAACCUAUAGUCACAGCAACUUGGGAAGCUGAGGUGGGAGGAUUGCUUGAGAUCAGGAGUUUGAGUCCAGCCUGGGCAACACACGUGUAUAGGUCUAUGAGUCUGGAAGAAUGUAUAUAGCCAUGGAAUCACUACCAUGUCAAAACAUAGGGUAUUUCCAUUAUCCCAACAAGUUCCCUCCUGCCCCUCUGCAGUCAAACACUUCCCUCCCCCAGCUCCUGGCAACUGCUGAUCUGAACUGUAGACCUGAAAAUGUCAUUCAGAACCCAUUUCAUCUGGACCCUUCUCUCUGUGUCAACAU
ensembl:lncRNA BMS1P14 BMS1 pseudogene 14